rnacentral:rRNA from 1 species
UCCUGGCUCAGAUUAAACGCUGGCGGCAUGCCUUACACAUGCAAGUCGAACGGCAGCACGGGGGCAACCCUGGUGGCGAGUGGCGGACGGGUGAGUAAAGCAUCGGAACGUAUCCUGGAGUGGGGGAUAACGUAGCGAAAGUUACGCUAAUACCGCAUAUUCUGUGAGCAGGAAAGCAGGGGAUCGCAAGACCUUGCGCUCUGGGAGCGGCCGAUGUCGGAUUAGCUAGUUGGUGGGGUAAAGGCCUACCAAGGCGACGAUCCGUAGCGGGUCUGAGAGGAUGAUCCGCCACACUGGGACUGAGACACGGCCCAGACUCCUACGGGAGGCAGCAGUGGGGAAUUUUGGACAAUGGGCGCAAGCCUGAUCCAGCCAUGCCGCGUGAGUGAAGAAGGCCUCGGUUGGUAAGUACGUCUUUCGGUCGGGGUACGG